rnacentral:rRNA from 1 species
UAAACUUCCCUUGUUGAGGAAGAUAAUGACGGUACUCAACAAGGAAGUGACGGCUAACUACGUGCCAGCAGCCGCGGUAAAACGUAGGUCACAAGCGUUGUCCGGAAUUACUGGGUGUAAAGGGAGCGCAGGCGGGAAGACAAGUUGGAAGUGAAAUCCAUGGGCUCAACCCAUGAACUGCUUUCAAAACUGUUUUUCUUGAGUAGUGCAGAGGUAGGCGGAAUUCCCGGUGUAGCGGUGGAAUGCGUAGAUAUCGGGAGGAACACCAGUGGCGAAGGCGGCCUACUGGGCACCAACUGACGCUGAGGCUCGAAAGUGUGGGUAGCAAACAGGAUUAGAUACCCUGGUAGUCCACACYGUAAACGAUGAUUACUAGGUGUUGGAGGAUUGACCCCUUCAGUGCCGCAGUUAACACAAUAAGUAAUCCACCUGGGGAGUACGACCGCAAGGUUGAAACUCAAAGGAAUUGACGGGGGCCCGCACAAGCAGUGGAGUAUGUGGUUUAAUUCGACGCAACGCGAAGAACCUUACCAAGUCUUGACAUCCCUUGACGAUGCUGGAAACAGUAUUUCUCUUCGGAGCAAGGAGACAGGUGGUGCAUGGUUGUCGUCAGCUCGUGUCGUGAGAUGUUGGGUUAAGUCCCGCAACGAGCGCAACCCUUAUGGUCAGUUACUACGCAAGAGGACUCUGGCCAGACUGC